rnacentral:rRNA from 1 species
AUUGAACGCUGGCGGCAGGCUUAACACAUGCAAGUCGAGCGAGAGGCGGACGGGUGCGUAAUGUAUGGGAAACUGCCUGAUGGAGGGGGAUAACUACUGGAAAAGGUAGCUAAUACCGCAUACACUCAUAUGUGCCCAGAUGGGAUUCGCUAGUCGGUGGGGUAAUGGCUCACCAAGGCGACGAUCCCUAGCUGGUCUGAGAGGAUGACCAGCCACACUGGAACUGAGACACGGUCCAGCCUCCUACGGGAGGCAGCAGUGGGGAAUAUUGCACAAUGGGCGCAAGCCGGAUGCAGCCAUGCCGCGUGUGUGAAGAAGGCCUUCGGGUUGUAAAGCACUUUCAGCGAGGAGGCGUUACUCGCAGAAGAAGCACCGGCUAACUCCGUGCCAGCAGCCGCGGUAAUAC